rnacentral:rRNA from 1 species
AAUUACCCAAUCCCGACACGGGAGGUAGUGACCAAUAAAUACUGAUACAGGGCUCUUUUGGGUCU